rnacentral:rRNA from 1 species
UGGGGAAUUUUGCACAAUGGGGGAAACCCUGAUGCAGCGACGCCGCGUGAUUUAGAAGGCCUUCGGGUUGUAAAAAUCUUUUCUAUGGGAAGAAAAUGACAGUACCAUAGGAAUAAGGACCGGCUAAUUACGUGCCAGCAGCCGCGGUAAUACGUAAGGUCCGAGCGUUGUCCGGAAUCAUUGGGCGUAAAGGGUACGUAGGCGGUUAAGCAAGUUAGAAGUGAAAUCCUAUAGCUCAACUAUAGUAAGCUUUUAAAACUGCUCAUCUUGAGGUAUGGAAGGGAAAGUGGAAUUCCUAGUGUAGCGGUGAAAUGCGCAGAUAUUAGGAGGAAUACCGGUGGCGAAGGCGACUUUCUGGCCAUAACCUGACGCUGAGGUACGAAAGCGUGGGUAGCAAACAGG